rnacentral:rRNA from 1 species
UUGCUGACCUGCGGAGGAUCAUUAGUGAAUCUAGGACGUCCAACUUAACUUGGGAGUCCGAACUCUCACUUUCUAACCCUGGUGCAUCUGUUUUAAAAUUGGCUAGUAGCUCUUCGGAGCGAACCACCAUUUUUCACUUAUACAAACACAAAGUCUAUGAAUGUAAACAAAUUUAUAACAAAACAAAACUUUCAACAACGGAUCUCUUGGCUCUCGCAUCGAUGAAGAACGCAGCGAAAUGCGAUACGUAAUGUGAAUUGCAGAAUUCAGUGAAUCAUCGAAUCUUUGAACGCACCUUGCGCUCCUUGGUAUUCCGAGGAGCAUGCCUGUUUGAGUGUCAUGAAAUCUUCAACCCACCUCUUUCUUAGUGAAUCUGGUGGUGCUUGGUUUCUGAGCGCUGCUCUGCUUCGGCUUAGCUCGUUCGUAAUGCAUUAGCAUCCGCAACCGAAACUUCGGAUUGACUUGGCGUAAUAGACUAUUCGCUGAGGAUUCCAGACUUGUUCUGGAGCCGAGUUGGGUUAAAGGAAGCUUCUAAUCCUAAAGUCUAUUUUUUGAUUAGAUCUCAAUCAGUAGGACUACCCGCUGAACUUAAGCUCGACCAGGGGGGGAAAAAC